rnacentral:rRNA from 1 species
AGCAGUAGCCACGGUAAUACGAAGGGUGCAAGCGUUACUCGGAAUUACUGGGCGUAAAGCGUGCGUAGGUGGUGGUUUAAGUCCGUUGUGAAAGCCCUGGGCUCAACCUGGGAAUUGCAGUGGAUACUGGAUCACUAGAGUGUGGUAGAGGAUAGUGGAAUUUCCGGUGUAGCUGUGAAAUGCGUAGAGAUCGGAAGGAACAUCUGUGGCGAAGGCGACUAUCUGGGCCAGCACUGACACUGAGGCACGAAAGCGUGGGGAGCAAACAGGAUUAGAUACCCGCGUAGUCCCUGUCUCUUAUAC